GAUGAACGCUGGCGGCGUGCCUAAUACAUGCAAGUCGAGCGAAUGGAUUAAGAGCUUGCUCUUAUGAAGUUAGCGGCGGACGGGUGAGUAACACGUGGGUAACCUGCCCAUAAGACUAGGAUAACUCCGGGAAACCGGGGCUAAUACCGGAUAACAUUUUGAACCGCAUGGUUCGAAAUUGAAAGGCGGCUUCGGCUGUCACUUUUGGAUGGACCCGGGUCGCAUUAGCUAGUUGGUGGGGUAGCGGCUCACCAAGGCAACGAUGCGUAGCCGACCUGGGAGGGUGAUCGGCCACACUGGGACUGAGACACGGCCCAGACUCCUACGGGAGGCAGCAGUAGGGAAUCUUCCGCAAUGGACGAAAGUCUGACGGAGCAACGCCGCGUGAGUGAUGAAGGCUUUCGGGUCGUAAAACUCUGUUGUUAGGGAAGAACAAGUGCUAGUUGAAUAAGCUGGCACCUUGACGGUACCUAACCAGAAAGCCACGGCUAACUACGUGCCAGCCGCCGCGGUAA
rnacentral:rRNA from 1 species